rnacentral:rRNA from 1 species
UACAGAGGUCCCAAGCGUUGUUCGGAUUCACUGGGCGUAAAGGGUGCGCAGGUGGUUUGGCAAGUUUGACGUGAAAGCCCCGGGCUUAACCCCGGGAAUGGCGUUUGAAAACUGCUUGAACUGGAGGGUUGGGAGGGGGGAUCGUGGAAUUCUUGGUUGUAGCAGUGAAAUGCGUAGAUAUCAAGAGGAACACCAGUGGCGAAGGCGAGUCCCUGGACAAUACCUGACACUGAGGCACGAAAGCCAAGGGAGCAAACAGG